rnacentral:rRNA from 1 species
AUUGAACGCUGGCGGCAUGCCUUACACAUGCAAGUCGAACGGUAACAGGUCUUCGGAUGCUGACGAGUGGCGAACGGGUGAGUAAUACAUCGGAACGUGCCCGAUCGUGGGGGAUAACGGAGCGAAAGCUUUGCUAAUACCGCAUACGAUCUACGGAUGAAAGCGGGGGAUCUUCGGACCUCGCGCGGACGGAGCGGCCGAUGGCAGAUUAGGUAGUUGGUGGGAUAAAAGCUUACCAAGCCGACGAUCUGUAGCUGGUCUGAGGGGAUGAUCAGCCACACUGGGACUGAGACACGGCCCAG